rnacentral:rRNA from 1 species
AACGAACGCUGGCGGCAGGCUUAACACAUGCAAGUCGAGCGCCCCGCAAGGGGAGUUGCAGACGGGUCAGUAACGCGUGGGAAGGUACCUUUUGGUUCGGAACAACUCCGGGAAACUGGAGCUAAUACCGGAUAAGGCCUAACGGGGAAAGAUUUAUCGUCGAACGAUUGGCCCGCGUCUGAUUAGCUAGUUUGGAGGGUCACGGCACACCAUCGCGAGGAUCAGUAGCUGGUCUGAGAGGAGGAUCAGCCACACUGGGACUAGGACACGGCCCAGACUCGUACGGAAGGGAGGAGAGGGGGAUAUAGGACAAUGGGGGCAGGCCUGAACAAGCCAUGCCGGGAAAGUGAUGAAGGCCGUAGGGAAGUAAAGCGGUUUUGUCCGGGAAGAUAAUGACGGUACCGGAAGAAUAAGCCCCGGCUAACUACGUG